CCUACGGGAGGCAGCAGGAGGGAAUCUUACACAAUGGGCGAAAGCCUGAUGGAGCAACGCCGCGUGGGUGAAGAAGGUCUUCGGAUCGUAAAACCCUGUUGUUAGAGAAGAAAGUGCGUGAGAGUAACUGUUCACGUUUCGACGGUAUCUAACCAGAAAGCCACGGCUAACUACGUGCAAGCAGCCGCGGUAAUACGUAGGUGGCAAGCGUUAACCGGAUUUGUUGGGCGUAAAGGGAACGCAGGCUGUCUAUGAAGUCUGAUGUGAAAGCCUUCGGCUUAACCGGAGUAGUGCAUUGGAAACUGGGAGACUUGAGUGCAGAAGAGGAGAGUGGAACUCCGUGUGUAGCGGUGAAAUGCGUAGAUAUAUGGAAGAACACCAGUGGCGAAGGCGGCUCUCUGGUCUGUAACUGACGCUGAGGUUCGAAAGCGUGGGUAGCAAACAGGAUUAGAUACCCGUGUAGUC
rnacentral:rRNA from 1 species